GAGCAUUCAAUCCUGUUUUCUAAGGCUCCUGUAAUUGUUGAGCUUGCCCAGACCCUUUCCUUAGAAAAAACAGCUUUGCAGGGAAUCAAGCUGUCGCGGACGGCAGCUUCAUACAAGAUGAUCCAUGGUCUAGGUAUUUACAUUUUCUUUCUUGUGAUGUGGGGCAGCAAGACCGGCCUCGAGACCAGGAUGCACCAAUACUGUCCCAACCUGCUCAAUGUUGAUGGGGACUCCUGUCAUCAUAUACACAAUGCGGCAAAUAAGUUCUCAGAGCGCUUUGACAGCUACUUGGAGAAACUGUUCAGUGAUCUCCAGGUUGACCAUCAGUGGAGUCCAGACCAAGUGAAGUACCUUAAGGAGAUAGCUAUGAUUCUAAAUCUCCCCGCCUCUAGCCCACAGAGGGGCUUUGUUCCUCAUCGCUGGCUGUCUGCAUAGGAUGCCAGCAUGGCAACCCAUGCCAUGAUGCCUGCGUACAAAGUCCUCUAUUAUGGCUACCUCUCCACUGCAGAUAAGGAGCUCUAUAGGGAGCCUUUGGAACUGAUGUACACCAAGUACCACAUCAAACAGGCGGCAAGAGCCAGUAUCAAGGUGGUUCAGGAGGAACUCAACAGGAAAGGCAUGACUCCACAAGGCCGUGAGAGAAAAAAGAGGGUAUGUCAGAAGCUGUGGCAUGAGGAGACGACAACAGUCCUACGGCUCAGCAUCUACAUGGGUGUGCUGGCUAUUCUCAAGGAGUAUGUCAUGAUUUUCCAGGGUAGCCAGACAUUGGUUCACAAACUUCAUGAUCGGCAGCUUGAGCUGUUCCUGGCCUUCCUGGCUUGCUUUGUGAAGGCCAAACACAUUACUCAGCUGUCUCCCAGGGCUCUGAGGGAGAUGGUCCUCGAGGAUCAUAUACUGCUGCCCUCCAAGGAGGUCUAUGUGGGAAAGGACGCUGACACGUUCAGGAGCCAGAAUCCCAAUCAUGCUCUGUUGGUGCCAUUCCUAGCAGACGUCAGGAAAGCCUACAUCACCACUGCAGUGUACCUCCAGAAGAAGCUCCCCUUGGCUAGUCCGACUCUGACAGCCCUGUCUGCUCUGGACCCUCUUCUGAGAGGCCACUCACAGGCAACCAUCCAGUUAAAUUUGUUUUUUUUGCCAUAUUACCAUGUACUUUGGGAUUUUUGUAACCUCAUCAAUCAAUCAAUCAAAUGUAUUUAUAAAGCCCUUUUUACAACAGCAGUUGUCACAAAGUGCUUUACAGAGA
ensembl:lncRNA